rnacentral:lncRNA from 1 species
GUGAAAUGUUCUUGUUCAUUGUAUAAAAUCAUUGUUUUGGGUUAAUUAAAUUUUUUAGUGUAACAUUUUUUUUUAUGUGAGAAGGGUUGGGACUCUUGAGUUAUAAAGUUUUUGUAUUCAAACCAUUAUCUUACAUUUUGUUUUUUGUUGAUUAAACAUCCACUCUAGUAAUCAAGUAAUCUGCCUGCGCCCCGUUUUUUCAGUUUUUCCAUUCCUCCCACUUUUCUUAUAAAAUCCGUAAAGAAUGUCUCUAUAGGGCUUUGCUCAUUGUUGAAGGCCAUACGGUGACCUAUAGUUGUUAAUGUCUGUGUCAUUUUGGUCUUUUGUGGAUAGUUGUCUCAUUGGCAAUCAUACCACAUCUUCUUUUUUUAUAUUUAUAAUAAGUCAGCAGCUUUACAGUGAUGUAUUGUAACCUGUUUGUCUCUUUUAAAAUCUUUUAGAUACCUAUCUGUGUUUACCAAUACUUAUAUAUAUAUACCCCUGCUUUAAAAGGUGUUAUACCCCCGCUUUAAAAAAGUGGGGGUAUACUGUUUUACAUCUGUCUGUCAUUAUAUCUGUCAGUCCAUCAGUCAGCAUGUCCAUCUGUCCCAUGAAUAUUUUUCGUUGCAUCUUUCUCAGGAACUACAAAACAAGGAUUUCUAAAAUUUGAAUUCAGAAUUCAUAGGCAUCAGCUAUACUGUGUGAUGCGUUUUCAGAAUUAUUAAUUAGCAACUUCCUGUUUACUGAACACAUACAUAAUCUUACACAUGACAUCCAAGUUUAAAAUUUUUCACAUUUUUCUCAGGAACAACUAAAUAAGAAUUUUUGAAAUUUAAUUUCAGGGUGUAUAUAAGUCAGCUAUACCUUGUGAUGGGUUUUCAGAUUCAUCACUCACCAACUUCCUGUUUACCAUCAAGUACUUGGGAGAGGGUAUCAUCAGUGAGCAGUUUCACUUAUUUCAAUAUAUUGAAUAAAUUUUAGUGGCCAUGGUCUACUGGUGUUGCUAUAUAUACUUAGAUUGUUUAGUUUUUAUACGACCGCAAAAAUUGAAAAUUUGUUGGUCGUAUAUUGGUAUCACGUUGGUGUCGUCGUCCGAAUACUUUUAGUUUUUGCACUCUAACUUUAGUAAAAGUGAAUAGAAAUCUAUGAAUUUUUAACACAAGGUUUAUGACCACAAAAGGAAGGUUGGGAUUAAUUUUGGGAGUUUUGGUCCCAACAUUUUAGGAAUUAGGGGCCAAAAAGGGCCCAAAUAAGCAUUUUCUUGGUUUUCACACUAUAACUUUAGUUUAAGUAAAUAGAAAUCAAUGAAAUUUAAACACAAGGUUUAUGACCACAAAAGGAAGGUUGGGAUUGAUUUUGGGAGUUGAGGUCCCAACAGUUUAGGAAUUAGGGGCCAAAAUAAGCAUUAUUCUUAGUUUUCGCACCAUAACUUUUGUAUAAGUAAAUAGAAAUCUAUGAAAUUUAAACACAAGGUUUAUGACCAUAAAAGGAAGGUUGGGUUUGAUUUUGGGAGUUUUGGUCCCAACAGUUUAGGAAUAAGGGGACCAAAGGGUCCAAAAUUGAACUUUGUUUAAUUUCAUCAAAAAUUGAAUAAUUGGGGUUCUUUGAUAUGCCGAAUCUAACUGUGUAUGUAAAUUCUUAAUUUUUGGUCCCGUUUUCAAAUUGGUCUACAUUAAAGUCCAAAGGGUCCAAAAUUAAACUUAGUUUGAUUUUAACAAAAAUUGAAUUCUUGGGCUUCUUUGAUAUGCUGAAUCUAAACAUAUACUUAGAUUUUUGAUUAUGGGCCCAGUUUUCAAGUUGGUUCAAAUCAGAAUCCAAAAUUAUUAUAUUAAGUAUUGUG